UUAGUUGGUGAGGUAAAGGCUCACCAAGGCGAUGAUGGUUAGGGGUCCUGAGAGGGUAGUCCCCCACACUGGUACUGAGACACGGACCAGACUCCUACGGGAGGCAGCAGUGAGGGAUAUUGGUCAAUGGGCGCUAGCCUGAACCAGCCAUGCCGCGUGCAGGAAGACGGCCCUACGGGUUGUAAACUGCUUUUCUGCAGGAAGAAUAUAUAGUCUUAGGGCUAUAUUGACGGUACUGCAGGAAUAAGCAUCGGCUAACUCCGUGCCAGCAGCCGCGGUAAUACGGAGGAUGCAAGCGUUAUCCGGAUUCAUUGGGUUUAAAGGGUGCGCAGGCUGUAAAGCAAGUCAGUGGUGAAAGCCCUGGGCUUAACUCAGGGAUUGCCAUUGAAACUGUUUUACUAGAGUGUAGUAGAGGACGGCGGAAUGAGUUGUGUAGCGGUGAAAUGCAUAGAUAUAACUCAGAACACCUAUUGCGUAGGCAGCUGUCUAUACUACAACUGACGCUGAGGCACGAAAGCGUGGGGAGCGAACAGGAUUAGAUACCCUGGUAGUCCACGCUGUAAACGAUGAUCACUCGUUGUUGGCUACUUAGUAGUCAGUGACCAAGGGAAACCGAUAAGUGAUCCACCUGGGGAGUACGUCGGCAACGAUGAAACUCAAAGGAAUUGACGGGGGCCCGCACAAGCGGAGGAACAUGUGGUUUAAUUCGAUGAUACGCGAGGAACCUUACCUGGGCUUAAAUGCUGGCUGCAUUGGAGGGAAACCUUCAUUUCCUACGGGACCGCCAGCAAGGUGCUGCAUGGUUGUCGUCAGCUCGUGCCGUGAGGUGUCGGGUUAAGUCCCAUAACGAGCGCAACCCCUAUCGCUAGUUGCCAGCAUGUAAUGGUGGGGACUCUAGCGAGACUGCCGGUGUAAACCGGAGGAAGGUGGGGAUGACGUCAAAUCAGCACGGCCCUUACGUCCAGGGCUGCACACGUGUUACAAUGGCCGGUACAAAGAGCAGCCACCUGGCGACAGGGCGCUAAUCUCUAAANCCGGUCUCAGUUCGGAUCGAAGUCUGCAAUUCGACUUCGUGAAGGUGAUUCGCUAGUAAUCGCGCAUCAGCCA
rnacentral:rRNA from 1 species